CUACGGCUGGCCCCUCUCUACUUUUUUUUUAUACAGGAGCAGUCAAAUCUUCCCUGUUCUUUCUUGUCCCGUUAAAAUAUAGUAAAGUGAACGUAACAAUCAUCAUCGGCAUCAUCAGUCAUCCCCCCUGUCAAGUGUCAACACAUCCAUCAGUAUACACGUGAAUCUUGUGUUAAAAGUACGCUUAUCUCUGCGCUCCUGCCUUUUCCUGCUUACUGUUUUCGCUGCAGGUGUGCGCGGCAGGCGUGGGAGCGUUCCCGGGGUUCGUUUUGUCUUGGCAACAUUGAUUGGCUCUUAACAAGUUCUGGAAUCUAGGACACGACUGGAACGGGAACGAACCGGACCGCCACUGCUCUUCCCUUCCAACCAACAACAACAGUAACAACAGCAACAACAACAGUUUGAGCAGGAGCGUUCGGAUGCCACAAACUUCC